rnacentral:rRNA from 1 species
AGAGUUUGAUCCUGGCUCAGGAUGAACGCUGGCGGCGUGCUUAACACAUGCAAGUCGAACGGACGUAGGGAGCUUGCUCCCUGCGUUAGUGGCGGACGGGUGAGUAACGCGUGAGCAAUCUGCCCAUAUCUGGGGGAUAACAGUUAGAAAUGACUGCUAAUACCGCAUAUGACCACGGGAAGGCAUCUUUCCGGGGUGAAAGAUUUAUCGGAUAUGGAUGAGCUCGCGUCCCAUUAGGUAGUUGGUGAGGUAACGGCCCACCAAGCCGACGAUGGGUAGCCGGCCUUAGAGGGUGAUCGGCCACAUUGGAACUGAGACACGGUCCAAACUCCUACGGGAGGCAGCAGUGGGGAAUAUUGGGCAAUGGAGGCAACUCUGACCCAGCAACGCCGCGUGAGUGAUGAAGGUCUUCGGAUUGUAAAACUCUUUAAGUGGGGACGAAGAAAGUGACUGUACCCACAGAAUAAGCCUCGGCUAACUACGUGCCAGCAGCCGCGGUAAUACGUAGGAGGCAAGCGUUAUCCGGAAUGACUGGGCGUAA